UUUUACCCAUGGCUAUUCAGCACCUGUUACAUUCAGAUCUUAUCAACAACAAGAAGUUCAUGUGACGGGCGGGAAAAGAGUAGCAUCUGACUUCUUUCGUCCGGUAACAGAUCCAGUCAUACUCGGCAGAAUACCACAGAUUGCUCAUGAAAAGGUCCGCCAGAUUCAUUUGCCUGACGCCAAUGUUACCGAUUUUGGUACCAUGUCUGUUUAUGGAUUUUAUCGUCUAAGACUUGCACCAUUAGAAAUAUUCAUUAAUGGCGCUCCACUCAGACUUGCAAGAUGGCCAAACGAGUUUUACAUUAACAUAGUCAGUGUACCGGAUGGAAGAAGGGGACUACGACUUGGUUAUAAUUCUACUCGGGAUUCAAAAUGGCUGGGAGAAAAAGAACCAUGGGUUUAUGGCUUUUGGUAUUGGAGUUGGGCUGACCAAUCAGUAAAAGUUGCCAAGAUUGAUACCAGUUCCCACGAGAUAACAUUUACAGCA